GCUGGGCGCGGUGGCGCGUGCCUGUAGUCCCAGCUACUUGGGAGGCUGUGGUGGGAGGAUCGCUCAGAGCCCAGGAGUUCUGGGCUGUAUUGCGGUAUGCCGAUCGGGUGUCUGCACAAAGUUCAACAUCAAUAUGGUGACCUUCUGGGAGUGGGAGACCACCAGGAUGCCUAAGGAGGGGUGAAUCGACCCAGGUCGGAAACGGAGCAGGUCAAAACUUCCGUGCUGAUCAGUAGCGGGAUCGCGCCAAGUGAUCCACUCGGCCCCUCAAAGUGCUGGGAUUACAGGCUGGAGCCACCGCA
rnacentral:SRP_RNA from 1 species